UCAGAGUCUGCGAAUUCGAAGCGAUCAGCUUCCGUCCAUAUGGAGGCUCUGGGCAGAAGGAAUCGCGCCCGAAACAAGGUGGAUUAUUACUCACUCUGGGAUAACUGCAGCCACGCAAAACCCGAAGGACUGAUUGCAAACACACGGUCCCACAUAUUUAUUUAGCUAAGGGGGUUAAAGAGGGAAUCGCUUUUCCACCAUCAAGCGUGCUUCUUUGUAUUGCAUUGGUACCCUUGCAUGGGCUUGAGCCCCCCAGCAGUAGCGACUGUAACUGGGACCCAUGUAUGUGGAUUAAAAAUCUCUUUAAGGGAGGCGAGUCUGCCACUCUUCCAGUAGAACAGACUGCCUUCCUCUUUCCUUAGAAUUUUAAAAGCAAAAGCUGGCUAGCCACCUGUCAGCGAUGCUAGGACAGCAGAUUUCCUUCAUCAGCAGGGGUUAGGUUAGACACUAGAGGAACUUUGAAGUUUUCCGCACAACUAGGUUUCUGUUAUGUGUCUGGUUCCUAUGCCAAUGCCCUAACAAGAUUGUGGCUGGCAUGGGAAGAAACCAGUGACAUCCUCUUACCCCGACCCACUUUGAUUCCCGUUUAUAGAUAUUACGGCCACAGAGUGAAAAAUCCAACCAUGUAAAGUUUCAAGUAUGUUUCAUUGGAUAAACCUUGCGUGUGACAGAGGUUGUCCAUGCUUACCUUGGAGUAAGUUCCACUUAACUCGAUUGGCCUUACUUACGAGCAGGCAUGAAGAGGGUUCAUUGCAAGUGGUUGAAACUUGGGUAACUGAUCUGCAUUAACAGUGCAAUCCCAUGCAUAUCUACCCAGAGGUAAGCCACGCUGUAUUCAAUGGAACUUACCUAAAGGAAGAGUGUAGGGAUGUCAUGGGCAAUCUGUGGCCCUCCAGAUAACUCCUGUCAGCCCUAGUUGGCAUAGACAACAGCAUAGCAAAGCAAGGGUAAUCUCCCAAGUCAGUCCGUUUUGUUCAGAGUCCAACAUCUGGAGGCCACAGGUUCCCCAUUCCUGGUAUAAACAAUAGCAUAUCACUACCUUACUGCCAUCAUCCAUAUUUUUUGAGAGUAAUUGCCCCACACAAUCACUAGUAUUUGUUGCAUGAGCAGAGUCAAGAAUUCAUUAUAAGGUUUUAGAUUGAUCCCAGGUAUGACAAAGGAUUGUCAAAUGCCCUUGGAGAACAUAGGUUGCAAUCCUAAAAUAGCUUAUUUCUUUGCCUAUAUGGAACAUCACAGACCCUUUACCUUUGUUGAUUAUCUCCCUUGACCACAGCAUUUCAAAUCCAGCUGCUCUAAAGAUAAAAACCCCUAUAACCAUUUCCCUCAAAAUUCAUGUGUUUGGAGUGACUAAAACAUUUAUGGACUGAUUCUUAGAAUGAUACUUCAUUUUUGUUUCUUUCUAGAAUACACCCUGCAGUUGGUUGCAGACCAAAUAAAGUAUUUUGGAACUGCACAGAAGACAGAAAUUCCCCCAUAUGAAUGGUUAUAAAAUAUAACAGCAAUACAGAUUUGUUAUAAAUCUCGUUCGGAGGAAUUCUCUCCCGGGAACUGCCAGACAAGUGUGGAACACAUUUUGCUGUUGUGGCAGGAAUGUCAGUACAAGUGCAGGAGAGAUAAAUAAAUGUGGCAUGUUGGCCCAGAUCCUCUGCUUUCUUAAGCCAGUAUUUUUCUACUGACCUCAGUAUUAUUAUUGUCUGUGAUAUUUUGCAGUCUGGAGAUAUGUAGGAAUCAGGUGUAAUGGGGGAAAGAAACGGGGCAAAGAACUGCAGAAAGAGACAGAAUGAUUAUUUAAAACAAAUGAUGUUGUUACUGUUGUGUUCCUGCCUCUCAUGAGGUUGACAGUUGCUUACCAUGCCACAAUAAAAGUCUUGGGCAGUGGUGGAGAACCUCAGCCUCCAAACCUGAAUGUGGCCCUUCAGACCUCUCUGCCUGGCCCUCAGGACUCUCCCAAGCCAUUCAUGCUCCCCAGACAACCCCCUCUCCACCAGCCUUGCUCCACACUUUCCUUGAAUUAUUCUUUCUGUGUGGAACAUGUCCUUGAACUGUGAUAAAGCCUCUUGCUUUCAUUAGGAGGAUGGAGAUAAUGUGAGGUGUGUAUGUGUAGAAACCUCUGCCUAUUGUUAUUUUUUUCAGGG